CUUGCUCGAACCGAGCCAGAGGGGGUGUCCCUCGGAGCGGCCCUUGCCGUAGGUGGCGAGGAUGGCCUGCGCCUC
rnacentral:antisense_RNA from 1 species